AAUUUUGGACAAUGGGGGAAACCCUGAUCCAGCCAUCCCGCGUGUAUGAUGAAGGCCUUCGGGUUGUAAAGUACUUUUGGCAGGGAAGAAAGGGUAUCUGCUAAUACCAUGUAGUUCUGACGGUAUCUGCAGAAUAAGCACCGGCUAACUACGUGCCAGCAGCCGCGGUAAUACGUAGGGUGCAAGCGUUAAUCGGAAUUACUGGGCGUAAAGCGUGUGUAGGCGGUUCGGAAAAAAUGAUGUGAAAUCCCAGGGCUCAACCUUGGGACUGCAUUUUUAACUGCGGAGCUCGAGUAUGUCAGAGGGGGGUAGAAUUCCACGUGUAGCAGUGAAAUGCGUAGAUAUGUGGGGGAAUACCGAUGGCGAAGGCAGCCCCCUGGGAUAAUACUGACGCUCAGACACGAAAGCGUGGGGAGCAAACAG
rnacentral:rRNA from 1 species